GAAACCGACCUGGCUCACGCCGGUUUAAACUCAGAUCAUGUAAAAAUUUAAGGGUCGAACAGACCUAUCCCAGCAGCCUCUACACCACUAGUUAACUUUAAUCCAACAUCGAGGUCGCAAUCCUUUCUUUCGAUAAGAACUCUAAAAAAGAUUACGCUGUUAUCCCUGAGGUAAUUUAAUCUCUUAAUCUUAAAACAAGGAUCAUAUACUUACGCAUUUGUAUAUAAAUAAAGAAAAGUUAAAUUAAUUUUCCUAUCACCCCAACAAAAUAAGUAAAAAAAACCCCACUCUAAAUACUAAAAUCUAAAAUAUUUCUUACCUAUAAAACUCUACAGGGUCUUCUCGUCUUUCACAAAAAUUUAAGCUUUUUUACUUAAAAAUAAAGUUCUAAUAAAUUUACCCAGAGACAGUAAUUUUUUCAUCAAACCCUUCAUACAAGCUUCCAAUUAAGAAACUAAUGACUAUGCUACCUUUGCACGGUCAAUGUACCGCGGCCAUUCAAUAACUCAGCGGGCAGGUCAGACCUGAAAUCUUUAUUCAACAAGCCAUGUUUUUAAUAAC
rnacentral:rRNA from 1 species